AAAAGACUUCAGUUUGGACAUGUACUCUAACUUUUUUGAUCAAGGAAAUGGCACUUCCUUUUAUGUAACAAACCUCACACUGGGAUUCAAUGAGAAGAAAUCAAAAGAUGCUGAUUUUGGAUUUGGGACCAGCUCUCUUAAAAAUCUACAGAGUGCGCAAGGUGUGAUGGUUGUAAAGAACAACUUGGUGGUCAGUGGAGUGGGAAGUACACAGCAGAC
rnacentral:misc_RNA from 1 species